rnacentral:rRNA from 1 species
AGUGAACGCUGGCGGCGUGCCUAAUACAUGCAAGUCGAACGGAGAUUAAGUAGCUUGCUAUUUAAUCUUAGUGGCGCACGGGUGAGUAAUAUAUAGCUAACUUGCCCAUUACUAAGGGACAACAGUUGGAAACGACUGCUAAUACCUUAUACUCCGUAUCUAUAUAAGUAGAUACGGGAAAGUUUUUCGGUAAUGGAUAGGGCUAUAUCGUAUCAGCUAGUUGGUAAGGUAAUGGCUUACCAAGGCUAUGACGCGUAACUGGUCUGAGAGGAUGAUCAGUCACACUGGAACUGAGACACGGUCCAGACUCCUACGGGAGGCAGCAGUAGGGAAUAUUGCUCAAUGGGGGAAACCCUGAAGCAGCAACGCCGCGUGGAGGAUGACACUUUUCGGAGCGUAAACUCCCUUUCUUGGGAAAGAAUUAUGACGGUACCCAAGGAAUAAGCACCGGCUAACUCCGUG